UUAUUUUUGGCGUUAGCGUAUCAUGGAACAUUUGAAAGCUUCGAGGAUAAAAUUCUAACGCCUUUUGAAGCAGAGUUUUACCUCAGAAUGUUUAUGAAACACAUCGAACAAGUAAAACAAGAUGGAUACCUUACUCGUGAUCAACUAGCAGGUGUACUUGAAAGCUUAUAUAAUAUUAAAGGAGACGAGAAGUCUAGGAUCAUAGAAUCAUGUAGCGAUAAAAUUUACGCAGCAGAAUUCUU